AUUGAACGCUGGCGGCAGGCCUAACACAUGCAAGUCGAACGGCAGCACAGAAGAGCUUGCUCUUUGGGUGGCGAGUGGCGGACGGGUGAGUAAUGUCUGGGAAACUGCCCGAUGGAGGGGGAUAACUACUGGAAACGGUAGCUAAUACCGCAUAACGUCGCGAGACCAAAGUGGGGGACCUUCGGGCCUCACACCAUCGGAUGUGCCCAGAUGGGAUUAGCUAGGAGGUGGGGUAAUGGCUCACCUAGGCGACGAUCCCUAGCUGGUCUGAGAGGAUGACCUGCCACACUGGAACUGAGACACAGUCCAGACUCCUACGGGAGGCAGCAGUGGGGAAUAUUGCACAAUGGGCGCAAGCCUGAUGCAGCCAUGCCGCGUGUAUGAAGAAGGCCUUCGGGUUGUAAAGUACUUUCAGCGGGGAGGAAGGCGGUGAGGUUAAUAACCUCGCCGAUUGACGUUACCCGCAGAAGAAGCACCGGCUAACUCCGUGCCAGCCGCCGCGGUAA
rnacentral:rRNA from 1 species